AUUAGGCUGCAAGGAGAAGGAAUCAAAACCUGUAAUUGUACACAAUAGGUCACCCAAAUCUUUGAACAUUUCCUGCAAAAGAAAGCAUGUAACAGUCUUGAUUAUUUCUUCUGUUUCUGCAUUAUAAUUAGCAAACACAGCAAUGCAUCUAAGCAGUAACAACCUGAUAGCCAGCAGCCUGUUCGGUGGGUGCAAAAGGGUGAAUAUUUGUGAAGUUAGGCCAUGUCACUGGCAUCAUCUCUGUUGUGGCAUUCAAUUUCAUUGUGCAGGAUCCCAAAGGAAUCAUGCUAUGGCACAGGGAAAGGUCCUUC
rnacentral:lncRNA from 1 species